GGAAGGGUGAGAUUUUAGCUCUGAGCUCUGACCUCUCGGCUUUCUCCUUUACAUUGUUUCUGUGUUUCUUAUUUAAUAAGACGGUUGGUUACAUCUACAUUUCCUCCUCUGAGAAUCAUUUGUAUGAACCUGAAAAUCUUUGUUCUUUCAACCUUGUAAGUGAAAAAGCAAAUGACCCUGGAGAUAAGUAAACCUUUAAACAUCAAAACAUUGGCUGGUUACAGAGAGAAGUCAAGGCUCCGCACGAGUGGAGAGGCAGCUGGGCACCUGUACAAAGAAAACGAAGACUGCUGGAGAGGUGAGAAGGAGGGCUUAAACUCCCAGGAGGAGAAGCUUCGUCCCUGUGCCAGCUGAACACCUCGAGGGCCGUCACUGUCUGCUGCAAAAGUUGAGGCUCCAGAAGCAUGUGCUAACUUAGGCGAAUCCCUUCCAGACAUUUCGGGAGCUUACAGGUGGAGACAGCAGGCAGGGGCCACAUUGUCUGGACAGAUUUCUGCUUCUGUGAAAGAGGAAAGAGAAUGUUAUUGGGUAAAUUAACAAUAACAGCGCUGGAGUCUUCAGGCUGCAGAGCAGGUGUUUUGAAGGGGAAAACAAUGCGGUCUUAUCUUUAUUUCUGGCUUUGUGAAGAACCAGGAAGACGAAAUCAGUAAUUUCAAGAUGAGUCACUGGAAACAAGUGGUUUCACAGAACACCUUCAAGUUUUAAACAGGUGGUGGUGGUGCAUGCCUUUGAUCUCAGCACUCGGGAGGCACACAGAUC